rnacentral:rRNA from 1 species
UACGUAGGGUGCAAGCGUUAAUCGGAAUUACUGGGCGUAAAGCGUGCGCAGGCGGUGAUGUAAGACAGAUGUGAAAUCCCCCGGCUUAACCUGGGAACUGCGUCUGAUACUGGAGGGCUUGAGUGCGGGAGAGGGAUGUGGAAUUCCAGGUGUAGCGGUGAAAUGCGUAGAUAUCUGGAGGAACACCGGUGGCGAAGGCGGCAUCCUGGACCGACACUGACGCUGAGGCGCGAAAGCUAGGGUAGCAAACGGG